CCUACGGGUGGCAGCAGUGAGGAAUAUUGGUCAAUGGACGAGAGUCUGAACCAGCCAAGUAGCGUGAAGGAUGACUGCCCUAUGGGUUGUAAACUUCUUUUAUAUGGGAAUAAAACGUUCCACGUGUGGGCUUUUUUAUGUACCAUAUUAAUAAGGAUCGGCUAACUCCGUGCCAGCCGCCGCGGUAAUACGGAGGAUCCGAGCGUUGUCCGGAUUUAUUUGGUUUAAAGGGAGCGUAGGUGGAUUGUUAAGUACGUUGGGAAAGUUUGCGGCUCAACCGUAAAAUUGCAGUUGAAACUGGCAGUCUUGAGUACAGUAGAGGUGAGCGGAAGUCGUGGUGUAGCGGUGAAAUGCUUAGAUAUCACGAAGAACUCCGAUUGCGAAGGCAGUUCACUGGACUGCAACUGACACUGAGGCUCGAAAGUGUGGGUAUCAAACAGGAUUAGAUACCCGUGUAGUC
rnacentral:rRNA from 1 species